rnacentral:rRNA from 1 species
GCAAGUCGAGGGGUAACAGGGAAGCUUGCUUCCGCUGACGACCGGCGCACGGGUGCGUAACGCGUAUGCAACCUACCUUUUACAGGAAGAUAGCCCGAAGAAAUUCGGAUUAAUACUCCAUACUAUAAUCGAAUCGCAUGAUUUGAUUAUAAAAGUUCCGGCGGUAAGAGAUGGGCAUGCGUGACAUUAGCUAGUUGGUAAGGUAACGGCUUACCAAGGCAACGAUGUCUAGGGGUUCUGAGAGGAUGAUC